rnacentral:rRNA from 1 species
GCUGUGAAAUCCGGAGGCUCAACCUCCGGCCUGCAGUGGGUACGGGCAGACUAGAGUGCGGUAGGGGAGAUUGGAAUUCCUGGUGUAGCGGUGGAAUGCGCAGAUAUCAGGAGGAACACCGAUGGCGAAGGCAGAUCUCUGGGCCGUAACUGACGCUGAGGAGCGAAAGGGUGGGGAGCAAACAGGCUUAGAUACCCUGGUAGUCCACCCCGUAAACGUUGGGAACUAGUUGUGGGGUCCAUUCCACGGAUUCCGUGACGCAGCUAACGCAUUAAGUUCCCCGCCUGGGGAGUACGGCCGCAAGGCUAAAACUCAAAGGAAUUGACGGGGACCCGCACAAGCGGCGGAGCAUGCGGAUUAAUUCGAUGCAACGCGAAGAACCUUACCAAGGCUUGACAUAUACGAGAACGGGCCAGAAAUGGUCAACUCUUUGGACACUCGUAAACAGGUGGUGCAUGGUUGUCGUCAGCUCGUGUCGUGAGAUGUUGGGUUAAGUCCCGCAACGAGCGCAACCCUCGUUCUAUGUUGCCAGCACGUAAUGGUGGGAACUCAUGGGAUACUGCCGGGGUCAACUCGGAGGAAGGUGGGGAUGACGUCAAAUCAUCAUGCCCCUUAUGUCUUGGGCUUCACGCAUGCUACAAUGGCCGGUACAAAGGGCUGCAAUACCGCGAGGUGGAGCGAAUCCCAAAAAGCCGGUCCCAGUUCGGAUUGAGGUCUGCAACUCGACCUCAUGAAGUCGGAGUCGCUAGUAAUCGCAGAUCAGCAACGCUGCGGUGAAUACGUUCCCGGGUCUUGUACACACCGCCCGUCAAGUCAUGAAAGUCGGUAACACCUGAAGCCGGUGGCCUAACCCUUGUGGAGGGAGC